AACCCUUCAUGAUGCAGAGAACAGAAGGUGCCCUGAAGGUAGGGGAAGGAGAGGGUCUGCUAAACCCUGGGUUGGAGAGAAAGCAGUGGGUUUCCAUGGAGAAAGGAUAAAAAUAGGACUGAAGUGCGACUUUGCCAGGGGCUAAGACCGUGAUUCCCAAGGGUGGUUACUGUCAGAAUCACCUGUAGAACCACAGCCAGUUUGAAAAGCUCAGGUUCUAUUUCCAGACAUUCAGCAAAUCGGAGGUGAGGUCUGGGACAUGGCUGUUCAGCAAACGUCCACAUGAUUAAGACGUAAUCUGAGUGGAAAUCAGGGCAACACUUGUCAAAAGACCGGUCUAGUGACAAAAUUCUCCUGAGAAAAUGCGGGGGUGGGGCGAGAACGGAACCCACCAACACCCCAGCUGUGACCCGCCUGGGGGUGGGGGGGGGCCUAGUCCUGCCCUGUUCUCAGCAACCUCUUGUGACCACAGGCCCGGAGGGCCCAGUGAGAAGGGGGCAGCACAGGCAGUAAAGGGAUCAGGGCCUUCCAGGAAUCGGGUUUGAUCAGCCCAAACUCCACCUGCUAGUUAAACCAGGCAGUUCACAGUGCAUCCGGCUAGUGGGCAAACCAGGGAGGUAUAACUUUUUUUUUUUUUUUUUCCCUAAAUCAUGAUGCAAUCUGAUCACAAAGCCCCACAUUUAUCAGGUUUCGAUUUCUGUGUCAAGUUAGACACCGACUCUCCAUGGGAAUCCCAUGAGGUACAUGGCAUGAUGCUGAUCUGACCAGGAGCUCAUCUAAAGCAGGUUCUCGGACUGCCUCACUCCCUGCCCAGCCCUCCGGAUGAUCUGUUCGCACGCUACCUAGCACACUCUGCAGCAGCACGAUGGGAGUGAAAAAGCACAGACAAAUUCAGGUUCAAAUCUGCCAUGGGCCAGCGGGGCCUGACUUCGAACUGUAGUUCUGCCACUGACGGACCAAUAGAUGAUCUUUAAAGUGUCAGGUAACAUCUCCCAAAUGCCUCCCUGAUGUAAGUGCACAAAACACGCCAGGAUUACCAGAGGUCUCUCUGCUGCUCACAGAAACUAGAUGUGACACGCCUCGGACCGGGCUUCAUUUCGUCAUCGACCACUCACCCUGUAAGCUCUAUAUGCAUUUUAACAGCGGAGGGAAACGCAUCCGAGU